CCGGCCCCAGGCUGGGCGAGCCCCCGCUGUGGGGAGGGUGAGGCCCUGGGCCAGCCCAGACAUUCUGGGAGCUUGUGACCGCAUGGGGUCAGAGGCAGGGGCAGGAGCCAGUCAUUUCUUCUAGCUUCCCUGGCGACCACACACCCUCACAUGGGUCCACCCCGGUGCCACUGCUAACCACUGGGCCUUCGGGAAGAAGGUUGGUGAAACCAAGGCAAGGCUGUGACUCAAGCUACAGCCCAAGCCCCUGCCAGCUCUGGCCCCGCUCCCUGUCCAUGGCUGGCCCCAGUUCCUAAAGCUCCUCAGCUCUGGAGUGGAGAUUUGCAUGCAGGGCCGGAUCCCCCCAGAGCGGAAGCAGGGCUGGACUGCAGUCCUCCCGGGAUCCCCGCUCCUGCAGCCCCACCGCCAGUGCCUACUCACAGGAUUUGGUUUCUUGGCACAGGGAUCGUAGCCUUGGUUGUGGCCCUGAUCAGAGAGGCAGGCUCCAUGGGGCAUUUCCCGGUCUCCUUCCUGGCCUUCAGCGGGCAGGCAGUUGGGAAGACUGGGAUCAACAGAGCUUGGGAGGCAGGUCCAUGUGGGCUCGCAGCCUGGCUCCUUCAUUUUCUAGCUUUGUGACCUAGGGAAAGCCACUUAACGUCUCUGCACCUCUCUCUUCCUCACAGCCCCAUGGAGUGGUUGCAGAAAUUAAAGAGAGAAUGCUUGUGAGCCCUGAACACCUGGCUUGGCAUGGGACAGGGGCUCAGGAAGGGAGAGCCCACUCUCUGUCCACCCCAGCGCGGCCCCGGACCCCGAGCUCAGGGCCCAGAAGUUUGCCUGUCCCGGCUUGUUUCUCCUCUCACCCAGGGAGGUGCUGGGCCCUAUGGGCCUUGGCUGGAGUUUGAAGAGUCAGAAGCAGUUGCACACAGUAGUUAGGGGUCCCUGAGUCUCAGGGCGGCAUGGGGUCUGGGCCAGCCAUCAAGCCAAGCUGGUCUAGGAAGGACGGCUGGGACCCACAGCAGUGGGGAGAAGUCUCUGCUCUUCAGGUCAUUCUCUGGCUGUACCUGAGCUGGUCUCGACUUGUAGACAGGUUUUGUUUGGUCUACAUGGGAUUAAGUAACCAGCCAAUACUUAGGGAUGAAGACAUUUCACGUGCAAGUGUAAAUUUUCAAUUUCCCUGAAAUAAUUAGGGAAGCUGGCCCUGCUGGGCUCACAUUUUUAUGUGGCAGCCGUGGGCAGGAACUGAGCAGCGGGGGCCUCUUCAGGCAGGACACGUGCCCCCCAGCUUACCGCAGUCUCCACCACUCCCUAUUGCACCGGUUCUCAACCUUGAGAAUGGGAGAAUCACAUGAAGGACUUGUUAAAACACAGAUUUCUGGGCCCUACCCCAGAGUUUCUGUUUCUGUGAGUCUGGGAUGGGCCUGAGAAUUUCUAACACGUUCCCAGGUGAUGCCGAUGCUGCUGGUCCAGGCACCCACUUUGAGAACCACCUGGUGCUGAGGCUGAUAUAUCAUUACACUUGGCCUGUUGCUUUUCUAUGAGGAGAGAAAUAUUUCUCUGUGUGCACAGCUCCAGCAAAAGUAGGAAAAUAAAAAAGGACAGUAUCAUUUAUUCUAGUAAAAGGGAGAAGUGUAUAUUUCUUUGUGGAUGGGAAGGCUAUUCCCUUGUGUUUAUAUGCAAGCAAUUUGCAUAUAUGUCAAAUAAACACAACUCAAGCUGCCACAGUGCUGUCUGCCCUGAGCACAACCUGGGGAACGUGCCGCGUGGCUGCUGUCUCUGCACUGGAUGCCUGCACCUGUCCAUCUCACUGGACUCGAUCUGCUUGGCCCUGCAGGUGUUUGAGGGUGUGACCCCUGCCGGUUCCACUGCCACAUGGUGUUAGGACAUGGAGACACAGAGUGGGUGAGACAGACCUCGUCCCGGUCCUCAUGGGCUCACAGACUGCUGGGACAGGCGGGUGAAACAAAUUGAACCCACACAUAAAAGAAGGAAUUACAAAGUAUAACAACCAGGGUGCUGAGAUGGAGAAUAAGGGGGUGUAUGGGGACCCCUUUUUAGUCGAGGUGGUCAAGGAAGCUUCUCUGUGGUCCCCAUCCUGUGGGGUGGGGUUGGGAGCAGAUGGCAUCUGGGCCAAGGCAGCUUGCAUCUCUGCCCUGGAAGAUGGAGCUAGGCUGAAAGUCAGGAGACCCCGGCUCGAGUCUUGGUUCCAGUAUCACUCCCCUCAGGGCUCCCCCAGCUCUAGAGUUUGCACCCCGCUUCAAAGCCCAGCUUGUGGCUCACCAAACCCAGGGAGCCUUCUUGACCUUCUGGCCCAUGCACGCGCAUGUGCGUGUACACCCUCUCUCAACCACUCUGCCCUCCAGCUCUGACUGCUGCCUCACCCUUUGGGGCGCAACAACACAGCGCCUCAUUGUUACUUAGUGGCUUCCUGAAGCCGCGGGUGUGUUCAGGAGGCCGUGCAGUUACUUGGUCUCUCCGGACCUCAGAACCUUCUGGGCCAUUGUGUCCUACUCUCGUGUGCAGAUGAGGAAAUGCAAUCCAGGGCUUUCAAUGCCCUCCACUUCCCGGCUCAUCACAGGGCAGGACUUUUCCUUCCUCUUGACUUUCCUGAGUCCAUCCUGAGGCCAAGCACAGAGCAGGGCGUGGGGGGCUCGAAACUGACACCUCUCAUAAUUCCAUCUCUAGAAUGGCUAACGAAUCUUGCCUGGUUGUGGCAAACCAGUGGCACAGUCUCCCCACAUUGUGCCCACAGCAGACAUCACUAAUCCAUCGUGACUCCUUCCCGUUGAGUCCACACAGUGCAUCAGAAUCCUUCUCGACCGAUCCUCUAGGAAGCUGAUGCCAAUGAAUCAGAAUUGACUCAUGGAAUGAAAUUUAUCAGCCACUCCUGGUUUUGCGGGGCUCAUCUGCCUCCUGAGAACAUCAAUAUAUUUGACAGAGCUGUGGUCACCAGGAGAAUGCACAGGACUGCUGAUGCUCGAAGCUCCCAACGGGGUUCCCGAAGAAUUGCCUGGGUAUCCAGCCCUGCUCUGUGCAGAGGCCUGGGCCAGGGGGUGGGCCUGGCUCCUGAGGCUCUGGCCUCAGGGCUGGAAGCCAGCAAACUGAGAUGAAGACAAGGGCCUCCCUGCCGGCCCCCCCACCACCGCCGGCUCUCACAGCCCCUGUUUAUCUUCUUCCUCCUCCUGGCCCAGUUCCCGAGCUCUGGAUGGGGCUGGGGUGUGGGUGCAGCUCUGUGGAUGGCGCUAUCUGUCAGGGUGUCCUGUCCAUCAGGGUGUCCCGCCCACCUGGUCUGCCUGUUCACACGCCCAUCACUGGUGCCUGGCCUUGGACGAGGGAUGACCGAUUGAAUGCAUGCACUUGUCUAGCUUGUCGUGCAUUCGUGCAUUGCUGAAUGUCUGUUGUCUCUGCUCCACCUUGAGCUCCGUGAAGACAGGGCUGAGGCUGGGGGCUCCAUGGCCAGCCUAUCCCAGCCUAGCAAUGGUGGUUCUGUGCACAUUGUGGAGGGACACUGAACUGAAGGGAAGGCCACAUCUUCCUCCUGUGCCCUUGGGGCUCUGUUGAGUCCCGGAUGUGGGCCACGAUGGGCCGUGGGCAGUUCUGGAGCUGGUGCCCCGGUUGUCCCUGAGAACGAUAGAGAAUGCUCACCAUUCCCCGCUGCCACGCCCUGUUCCCCACGCGCCGUGCCCGGAGCCCCCUUCCCUGCUCCAUUUCAGCCCAUUCGAGAUCCUCUUUGUCUAUUAAGGUUCAACUCCAGGGCCACCUCCUCCAGGAGGCUGUGCCUGAGAGGCCUCCUGCUGUCCUCUAGCCCUCGGCUCUCCCUCUGCUGUCCUCACGGGGCCUGUGGGCCACGUACUAGUGCCCCUGAAGGCUCUGGCCACCAUGCUUUCUGCAGGCCAUAAGGGCAGGGGAGGGGCUGCAGCCCUGGGCAAGGCCUCGCUGGGCCGUGUGAGCUGCUCCAGAGAUGUUUGGGAGAUGUCUGGCCCUGUCCCAGGGGCCCUGUCUCAGGGUCAGGGGGCGUUGCUUUUCUGCAAGGACAAGGGACCACAUCUGGGUCUUCCCCCUGCAGCAGAGCCCUCGCCGCCUCCAUGUGCGUGGGCCGCAGGUGUGCACAGACCUGGCCUCUUUCCUCUGCAAUGUUCGCUCCUUAGCUUCAGGCUCUGGCCAGGCUUUGGAGAUGGCAUGUGGUGUCGGGUCUGGGGUCUGCGCCCCCACUGGAUGUGAUGUGCGGGGUCUGUGGUGACUCGGCCUCUCGGAGUUUGUUUCCUCGGUGGCAAAAGAGGACAUCGGUUCCCAUCUCAUAAGGUUACUGUGGAAAUUACAGGUGCCAACGUGUGUAUUCCCUCCAGCUUCUCUCUGCCUAGAAGGUUCUCCCAUCUUCUUUGCCUAGACAGCUCCUAUUCAUCCUUCAGAAGAUCUGGGCUCAAUGUCACCUCCUCCAGGAAGCCCUCCCUGGACAGAAGUUCCAGUCAAGUUCCUCUGCUGUGGACUCCUGGGCUUCCCCGUGGUGCUUAUCUGUGUGUGAGAGUGUCUACUUAGAGACGCCUCCUCCAUUAGACUGGGAGCUCCGGGAGGGCAGGGGCCGCGCCUGCCCUGUUCUCCGCUGCAUCCCUGUGUCCUGCUCUUUGAGGCAAUCGGGGAAUGUUUGUUAAGUGAAUAACAAAUGUAAAGUGUCGCAUGCAGAGUGGAGACCCAGUACAUUUCAGCUCUUCUUACCAAAUGUGGCCCCCAGGGUCCACGUCAUCACUGCAUUUGGUGCUGUCGGACUGUCACAUGGUCAGAAAGCGCUGCACCCGGCCCUUGCCAGUCUGCCCUCCCCAGGGAAGUGCCUGCCCACGCUGCCCUCUCUGCACCGAUGCAGGGUAGGGGGAGGCCCAGUGAGGUGUGCCGGAGGCCUGAUCCCCCGGUGUUGGCCACUGCCCUGCUUGCCAGGGCCUGCCAGGAUCCGCCCCGGGCAUGGAGGGCAGGUAGGAAGUCCACAUCGGCACACAGCUGGCUGACAAUGAGGUCUUGGCUGCCCUGAGCCCAUAGCUAAGAAGGAGAGUCCGUGCCCACUGAGGUGACUGUGAGCUCAGCCUGGGCUUUUAGGGUCAUGUCCACACCCCAAACUGUGUCUGCCUUUUGAAUCCACUUCUUCUGACCGAAAGCCUGGUGCUCAUGUCUGCUCAUCAAACCAUCCAGGUCCUGGAUCUUCUAGGUCACUCCUCUGGGCCUCAGUUUUUUUCAUCUGUCAAAUGGGAAUAAAAGCCUUGUGAUAUGGUGGAAUUUUGAGGAGCCAAUGGAAGAACUUGCACUCAGAGCACUUUACAGUUUGUAGAAGCCUGUCACAUGUGUUCCCGACAUACUGAAGCAACCCUUCUCUGGAGAACUGGAGAUGAAUGGAUGCUGGGGAGAUGAGAUACUCACUCAAGAAAGUUCGGGGUGCUGUGCUGUGGGUGCAGCUCUGGGGGGCGCUGUUCAUGUGGAUGCAGUCUAUAUAGCGCCUCUUGUGAUAGAGCAGAGUGGCGGUGCCUUGGUCUGGGGCAGACAGACGGCUGACAGCGAGCUCUGCCCGGUGCUUGCAGGAGGCAGCGUGUGGAGCAGCGGUCCGCUCUGCACGGCCAUGCUUAACCUGGAACUCUCAAAUCAGUCACUUGUGUCCAGGGGGGUCCCCAAGUGCAGAGGAUAACAGCCUUGGAACCCUUUGCCCUGGGGCCUGGUCUGCUCAGUCUGAAGGAUGGACACACCUGCCUGGCCACCCACACGUGCUCAUACGUGUCCACACUGUGCACACGUGCACAGGCAUGGCACUCUAGACUGACCUCCUCUCUUGCAUGGACCUGAGGCAUCCGGGCCUUGCUCACAUAUCCCUGCUCCCUCUGCCCAGGGGCGGCUUGCAAGUAAGAAACAGCAGAGAGGAAAAGACCAGCCCUGCUCAGGGAGAAGAGAAAGUGGGCACCGGUUCCAGUUUUUUAAGGAGCUGGCUACGAGCCAGCCAGCAGGCAUCAGAGGAAGGCAGCUGACUGCACUCGGCCACAUCCUGAACGUGCCUGAAAAGGAAGGAGGAAGAAGUGCCAGACUGGGGGAAAGGCCUCUGACCUCACGUUCUUUGCUUAUGGAGUGGCCAGGGGGGAUUCAGUGACCUUUGAGACAGGGGACGACAUCCUCAAGUUCGGCUCAGACUCGGCAGCUGCAUCUGCAGAGGCUCAGGAGGUCAGAGCUGUGUCAGGAUCCGUGACCCCCACGUGAGCAAGGUGGCCCGGUGGGAGGCUUCCGUCACCGUGACGACUCUGAUGCUGAGCUACGGCAGCCCGACUUGAGUGGCGAGUCGAGAACGGUGUUCUAGGGCCUGCUUUUCCAAGUUCCCUCAUUGAGUUGAGGGUGGAGUCUGUAUCUCACCCAACCUCGAUUUUCCCCGUUUGUAAAAUGGGAGGCGCUAUAAGUAAUUGUCAAGGCAAGUGUGGGGUAAAGCCUUGAAAUGAGAGCACAUAAAGUUAUCCACCCACCCACACAUCCAUCCACCCACCCAUGCCUCCUUCCGUGCAUCCACCAAAUCUCAAGAGCCAGCUCUGAGCAGAUACUUGCAAACACCCAUGAGUCAGAAUUUCUCCUACUUCCGGGGACUCUCGGUUCCCGUGUGAGGGGGCUGUCUUGUGAAUAAAGGGGCCAGCAUUGGUUCAGUCUAGACCAUUUGGCAGGUUUCUUAAAGGAGACUCCCUUGGAGCUGGUUUGAUGUGAGAGUUUGCCUCGUGGAGGAGCAGGGGAACCGCGUCUCGGGCACAGGGAAUGGCAAAGGCCUACUGGGGCGUGGGGUACAGGCCUCCUGGCUCUGUGUUGUGGCUGAAAUUUGUCAGUAGCUGCAGCCGCAGCUGUGGGUGGGGGUUUCUGAGCUGGGCUGGGCAUGCUAACACAUCA